rnacentral:rRNA from 1 species
GACGAACGCUGGCGGCGUGCCUAAUACAUGCAAGUAGAACGCACAGUUUAUACCGUAGCUUGCUACACCAUAGACUGUGAGUUGCGAACGGGUGAGUAACGCGUAGGUAACCUGCCUGGUAGCGGGGGAUAACUCUUGGAAACGAUAGCUAAUACCGCAUAAUAUUAAUUAUUGCAUGAUAAUUAAUUGAAAGGUGCAAUUGCACCACUACCAGAUGGACCUGCGUUGUAUUAGCUAGUAAGUGAGGUAACGGCUCACCUAGGCGACGAUACAUAGCCGGCCCUAGAGGGUGAUCGGCCACACCGGGACUGAUGCACGGCCCCGACUUCGUCGGGAGGCAGCAGUAGGGAAUCUUCGGCAAUUGACGAAAGUCUGACCGAGCCACGCCGCGUGAGUGAAGAAGGUUUUCGGAUCGUAAAGCUCUGUUGUAAGAGAAGAACGGGUGUGAGAGUUGAAAGUUCACACUUUGACGGUACCUUACCAGAAAGGGACGGCUAACUACGUG